UUAGAGCCCCAUCUUUGCUACUGUGUGUGUGCCUGUGUUUGACUUAAAUACAGAAGUGUACUAUUUGUGUGUUUAAUGGUAGAUCAGUGUGUACAACUUCAGAGGACUGAUCUCUUUUCUGGAUGUGGCAGCACCUUCAGGGUCUGUGCAAGCUUUGAUGAGGACCGUCUCUGCUGUGAAGCCCAUCCUGCCCGGCUACGGUGCAGCCAAGAAGCAGAUCCUGUUCCCUCUUGGUCAUGGUCUCUUCUUUUAAGCACUGAGGAUGAUGUUGGUAUAGUUCUGCCUGUACAGGUUGUUCUCAUCAGCUGAGUGUGUGAUGUUCAAUAAUGGCAACGCUAUGAAUCCUCAGCAUGAUGGAACUACCCCAGCACCUCCUUUUUUUCACAUCCAGAAUCACUUUUAGGUCAGCGGACACUUCUGAGCUUGAAGAAUACAUUAUACCCUCUUUUCAGGAGAUCAACAUUUACGAAGCCGAAGAGCUUUCUCAGCUUAUUCUCUGGAGUAACUGAUCAGCAGUUCUACCUACAAGAAGCAGGUGAGAAAUAAGAAAAAAUAAUUGCGAGUCUACAAAGUGGAGGUUAUCUGGGCAAAGAAACCUAACAUCUCUGAUUACACUGCAUCAAGGUUAUACGUGCAUGCAGCUAAUGCAGAGGGAAUUCUGGUGUAGAAUCUCAAACCCAGCAGUGACCUGGUUUGAGGGUAGAUGAUUUGAAAGUGCAGGUUGUUCCACCUGAAGAAGUCUUGAGUUGCAAUCCACCCAUAAAUCCAUCCAAAACGUGGCAGGCAGACGAACACAAGAGUGAACAGGUAGUUUUCAAGCUAUCUGAACAGCAUGAAUAGGGAAAACAAUUCUGUGCAGGUAAAAACAUGGUAAAUUAUCAGGAAAAUCUUAACAAUGAGAUCUGUGUCAUUGUAGAAUCAUUUUCCCAGGCAGAAUAACAGAAGUUGAAGAUUUUCAUGAUUGGAUCAUCGUCAUUUGAAUGGUAUGAUCAUCCUAGGUAUGGUAUGACUACACUACUAAUCCAUUUUAACUUUAUGAAGGAAUCUGCAGGGCUCAGCUGUGAUUUAAAACCAAUGAAUGAAAACAUGUUGUCUCUUGCAAAAAAUCAUAUUUCCUCCUCGUGGCUGUUACAUGCUGAAUUGAUAGUCCUGUCUGAACGAGUUGCUAGAUAAGGGAGCUUGCUCUGAGACCUCAAGUUCACCUACAAAGAAGAAAUUUCUUUGGAGACGAGUUCUACUUCUGUUUAUGCUGGGGAGAUGGAAAGGCUAGUUCAUUGAUUACCUUGAGAAUGAGAAGAGAAGAACUUACAAAUUCAUUCUAGGAAGAAUGAGUGUGCACCUAAAACAGGAAACAGCGAGGGAGGAAAGCCCCAAUGUCGGAAGUCAGGGAAAAGAUUAAUGAAAAAGAAAGAAUAGUGCUCUGUCAGUACCAUUCACUGAACUCUCACUCACUGCACUGAAACAUCACGUUCUUUUGAAUUUAGCUAUCUUUUAUGGGCAACAGUUGAAAAAUGAGUAUCAACUGAUCUUUCACAUGUGUAACCUUAUGACCUCACAUGGAACCUUUCAGUGGGGCUGAAAAAGCAGGGCAGAAAUUCAGCAGUUAGAAAUGCGAGCACUUGGGUCUUAGAUUGCCCCCUUUGUCUCACCACAGCCCUGCUCUCAGGAUUUGCAUUGCGUAGAGUCUCAUGCUCACUUUCCACACUGGGGCAAAUUCCUCUCCUUUGUAUGUGCAGAUGGGUGCAUUUAAGUAGAUGAGAUUAUCCUACAAUUGGUAUUUCGAGACCUUUUUGCUUAGUUUUA